GGGAGCUCACACGGAUAGAACAUCCCGAUUUUUAAUCGGGACGGUCAAAGGUUCGAAUCCUUUCGCGCUCA
rnacentral:tRNA from 1 species